GGCUAGUGGAAGAAAAAUAACUAACUAAAGGUUUUAUGUGCACUUUUCAUAAUAAAAAUGAAGUGCAAUCUUAAAAUUUGAAGGCUUUGACGUCUAACAACCCUUUAGAAAAAGAUUCAACCAAAUCAGUCAAUUCAUAUCGAUUCACCCGAUUCAUUAUCAAAACAUAAGAUUCAGUCACGAUUCAGGUACAUUUGCAAUUCACCUCAUAGAUUCAAAUGGGGAAUCAAAUCAAAUCAUACGAAUCGAAUCGAGAAUCUCAAGAUUCUAACAACAGUCAAAAUUCCAACAGCUAUUUGCAAGGUUGCUAAAAUUUGUCGUGUAAUCAUACUCUAAUGCCAAGCUAAUGCCUAUUUUGAUUGCUCCACUCCUUUAACGGAAAGCACCCUAUCUCACAACAAAUAAGGGGACCCCACACAAAGGCAAAGGGCAUACAAAACAUGUCUGUGCACAU
rnacentral:misc_RNA from 1 species